rnacentral:tRNA from 6 species
CGGGGUGUAGCGCAGCCUGGUAGCGCAUCUGCUUUGGGAGCAGAGGGUCGGGAGUUCGAAUCUCUCCACCCCGACCA